GACGAACGCUGGCGGCGUGCUUAACACAUGCAAGUCGAACGGAAAGGCCCUGCUUUUGUGGGGUGCUCGAGUGGCGAACGGGUGAGUAACACGUGAGUAACCUGCCCUUGACUUUGGGAUAACUUCAGGAAACUGGGGCUAAUACCGGAUAGGAGCUCCUGCUGCAUGGUGGGGGUUGGAAAGUUUCGGCGGUUGGGGAUGGACUCGCGGCUUAUCAGCUUGUUGGUGGGGUAGUGGCUUACCAAGGCUUUGACGGGUAGCCGGCAUGAGAGGGGGACCGGCGACAUUGGUACUGAGGUACGGCCCAGACUCCAACGGGAGGCAGCAGGGGGGAAUAUUGCACAAUGGGCGGGAGCCUGAUGCAACAACGCCGCGUGCGGGAUGACGGGCUUCGGGGUGUAAACCGCUUUCGCCUGAGACGAAGCGUGAGUGACGGUAAUGGGUAAAGAAGCACCGGCUAACUACGUG
rnacentral:rRNA from 1 species